AAAAGGUAGGACAUAAAAUAAACCUGAUGCAGAUCUGCACUCGGAAUUAACAUACAAUAAAAUUACCAAGUCACUGUAUUGGUGAACCUAUUUGUUCAUUUAUUUUUCCUAUGAAAAUAGAAACUCAUCAUCAUGGAGAAAAUCUGGGAGAUUUUGUUAGCAUUUUUUUAUUUUGAUGAAAGAAACAAUAUGCUGUUCUAAGACUUGUAAGACAGAUGAACAUUACAAGUCCCUUGUGACACCAUUUCUCAGAGAUAACUUCUGAAACACACUGGAAUAAUAUAAAACAAAAUAUUAUCACUAUUUAACAAUGCUUUUUUUUUCUGUUAACAAAUCAUGUAUCAUUCCACAUAGGUGCAUGAUUAUCAACUUCAUUUUGUCUUUAAGUGACUACACAGGAUGUACUGUAAUGGUCUUUUUUUUUGGUAAUGGUCUUUUAUUGACGAUUUUAAUAUUGUUUCCAGUUUUCCUUACAAAAUACUGCAUUUAAUGUAUUGUACUUUUGUAUAUCUAUAGCAGUAUUUUGAUAAAAUAAAGUAUUAGGUAUAGAAUUGUUAAACCGGACAAUAUGACCAUUCACAACUAGAUAUACUGCCAAAUUGACUUUUUAAAAUAUGUUGUCUAUGAACUCUCACAAUAUAAUGAAGCAGUUAGGCUGCAGCUUAGAUUAUUUAUUUCAAUCAAAGCCGAGAAGAAAUUAGACCAAAGUCGUACACAUUUUAAAUUAUUUUAUCCAACUUUCUAUCCUCCCUUUUUUACAUUCAACUAUCCAUAUAUCUACCACCAUAACAGUUUUUUUAUUACUUUAUUAUUUUUUAAAAAUUCACAGCAAAAUUGAGAGGAAGGUACAGAGAUUUCUCAUCUGCCCUCUGCCCCCAGCCCCACAUACAGCCGUCCCCAUUAGGAACAUCCCACACACGAGUGGCAUGAUUGUCACAACUGAUGAACCUACACUGGCACAUCUUUACCCCCGAAGUCCAUAGUUUACCUAAGGGUUAUAAAUUCUGUGGAUUUUGACAAAUGGAUAACGGCACAUACCCACCAUUACAGUAUCAUACAGACUAUUUCCACUGCCCUAAAAAUCCUCCAUGCUCCAGACUUAUUCAUCUUUAUCUCACCACUUAACCCCUGGCACCACUGAUCCCAUCCGUUCACCGUGUCCUGCGUUUUGCCUUUUCUAGAAUGCCAUUUGGUGGGAAUCACACAGAAUGCAGCCUUUUCCAGUUGCCUUCAUUUACUUAGGAAUAUGCAUUAAGUUUCCCCCACGAUGACUACAGAUAAACAAAAACUAUGGUGCAGUAUCAGGAAGGAAAUUUAAAUUAUCUACAAUUCCACCAAACAGUGGUAACUACUGUUCAUACUCUGAUCAUUUUGCUUCAGUCUUUUCCCUUGUACACAUGACCACAGGAAACUAGAAUAGCAGUGCUGUCAGCACUUUGUGGCUCUCCUUUUAAAUUUAACAUUGUCAUAUUAUCACUUCCCAUGUCAGUAAGUGGUGUUCUUUGAAAACGUAAGUUUAAUGGCUACAUAAUAUUCCACUGGAAGGCUAUAUAAGAUUUCUUCUAACUAGUUCCUGACAUUUCUAAGUUAUGUUUUCAUUACUAUAAAAAUGAGAAUAUACUUAGAAAUAAUCUUUGUUUUUAUGAGCAUUUUCUUUGGACAGUUUUCUAGAAGUGGAAUUAUUGAUAUAAAGAUAUCAAUACUUCUAAAGCUCUAGUAACAUAUCAUCAAAACUUUUCUAGUUUGCGCCAGUUUAUGUCCCCUCCAUCAGUGUACAAGAGAGCUUAAUAAAUUCUAGGCAACAUGUAAAUUCUAAAAUCAGUAUACUUAGGCAAAAACAGAAUUUAAAAUUUGUUCAACAUUUAAAAAUGUUUAUUAGCCUUUGUAUUUCCUCUUUUCUGACUUUUCUGCCAUCUACAGAAUUUUAGUGUUUUUCUGAUUAAUUAUAUAUGCUUGUCAUAGAUUGAGGAUGUUACCCUUUCUCUGUUAUAUUUUAAGUAACUAUUUGUUAAUUUCAUUCAAGUUGUAUUUAAGUAGCCUCUUUUAUACUAAGACAUUUUGAAUUUUAUGUGGUUGAGUAUUAUAUUUUCCUUUGAAAUUUCCAUUGUUUUAAGCUUACACACUGUUCCUAAUAGAAAAAAGUUUAUAAAUGUCCACUCUUAUUUACUUGUAGUUUUUUGUUUAUCUUUCUUAAGGUUUUACUCCGUACAUUUAGAGCUGCUUAAAGCUCCAGGGAUUUAUUUUGGUAUGAAACCAUGAGGUGAGGAUUAAAAUAGAUCUUUUUCUUAAAAAGCAAACAACUGCUUCAGCACCAUUUCUUUUAACAACUUCUCCACGUUCUUCCACAUAAUUGGGUCUGUCUGGGAGUCACACACUCCGCUGUACUGACCCGCUACUCUGUUUUUGUGGCAAAAAGAAAAUGUUUUCAUUACCGUGGAUACAAAAUAUGUGUUAACAUAGAAGCUACGUGUCUCCUAAUUUCUCUUCUUAAAAAAUGUAGAUAGAUGAUCAUUAUAAUCAUCUUUUUAUAUUAUAAGAAAAAAAUCACAUUAACAGUUUUGAUUGGAAUCGCACUGAACUUCUGAAUUCAGGAAGAACUGACAUUUAAAAGUCUUUCAUGUAUAUUAGUAAGUUUUUAUAAUUUUCUUCAACUAAGUUCCACAUCCACCUUGAGAGCAUUUUUAGAUUUUUGUUGAGGCGAACUUCGGCGCACGGGGCUGUGAAGCCCGGGUAGGCAGCGGGCUCGAGGGCCGCCUGCGGACGGGGGGGCCGGGAAGCGCCGUGACGGGCCCGACGGGGGCACCGGGACGUCCGCGCCGCCGCAGCUCCGGAGGCCGAGGGGGCGCGCCAGCCGGCGCCGUCGAGGCGGAGGCAGAGGCUGCGGGCCUCCGGGGCAGGAGGGGCGCCUGCGGGGACAAAUGGGGCGGAGCCCGCGCCCGUCGGAGAGGGCGGCCCGGCGCGAGCCCCCAUCGGGGCGCAGACGCCCGGCCGCCGCCUCGGCUCUGCGGGGAGGGGGGGGCGCGGUGGCCUCCUGCGCACCCGGCCCCGGGCUCUCCGUGCCGAGCGGGGCUCCGGGCGCAUGGCUCGCGGACCCCGGACUUGGCGGCCCGGCGGCAGCCCCACCCGGCCGCGCACCCGGGGCCGCCUCCCUCCUCCCGCCCCCGCCCUCGCCCUCGCCCUCGCGUCCCGGGGCCACGUCCCACUCCGGCUCCGCGUGAGAACUUCCCGGCGGUCCGCACCCGCCGCGCGCCCGGAUUUGCUGGAGCGCCGAGCUCGGCCCCUGCGCACCUGGCGGGGCUCCGGGGAAUCCAGCCGCGAGCGUGCUGACGUCACCGAGAAAGUACAGGAACCGGUCUGCAGCUCCGUGUUCGGUCAAACGUUUGCAGAGGAUCUCUGAUGGGCAGAAUUCAGUCUAAAAUUGGAUUAUCAGCUGAUUUUUUUGUCAUGUCUGUCAUGUAAAUUAAUGUAAUGCUUGAUAAAUCUAAUUUUUCAGAAGAAAACGGAAUUAAAGUCUAUGUUUUUCUUCCCUGUCCUCUCAGAAAAAAUACACCUCAGACCAACCAGCCAAGUCAGGCAAAACAUACGGGAACUCCUGCUCAGGCCAAAAGCGACUAAGACGAGGGCGCAAUGAGGCUACCUGCCCGAAGGCCCAGCGUGCGCUCAGCAGAUCUUGCUUUGAAUUCUCCUGGGUAUAUACUCAUAAGUGAACUGCUGGAUUACAUGCUCAUUAUCCACAGUGAAUCACUUUUUGCUUUGGCUGCCAGGAGUCCAGAGUCAAGCGCCAGCCUCCCUGCCUCCCUCACACUGCGCUCAGCCCCCUGAGGCUCCCUGGUCGCCAAGACCGCAGGUGGGUGAUUCAGGAGACAGAGGCCAUGAUGGGAGGGCUGCUGGCCGCAGAGGCUGCCUGUGCCCCCCGUCCCCGUGCCACAGACUCAGGGCCUCCCCCGUGGCUGCAUUUCCUCCACAGGCAAUCCGGUCUCCUUUCUCGGCCAGCCGGUCUCCUGCGACAACACGCCUUCUGCUUCAGCCUCCCGGGGCCUGCGUGCAGCCACCACAGCCCUCCAGGCUCUGUGACAGGACCUCUCGGCUUCACCUUCCACCUGCUGGCUUGCCUCCUAGGACUUCCAGGUUCAGCUGCAGGGCAAGAAGCUGGCCAGCCUACACCUGUUUUCUCACCAGGCCCCUGGCUGGUCUUUGGACAAGUGUGCAUUCUCAGUUUAAUGAAUUAACGCUAAAAGAAAACAAGGUCAUGAGAUAAAACAUGACUUCCUGCAUCUUCUCACCAGGGGCUGCAGAAGGUGGUUCUUACACCAAAGAGGAGGCGGAACAUAGGCAGACACUGCAUAUGAUGUAUCUGGCCCAUCGUUACGUGGCCAUGACCUGACACACACACAAACAUUCUUACGUGCCUUACUUACAGCUAUCUCCACAGUUUACUGCACACACACACAAAUAGUUUCCCUGGCCUUGAUUCUAAUUAUUAUUUUCACUUUUAUUUUAUAUAUUAUAUAUUUUAUAUUAUUACAUAUCCUUACAAACUUCCACAGAAACUUCCUGAAAUCAGACGGAACAUAAUAAACAGAAAAUCCACAGUGACAGGCAAAACAAAGUUAACUUCACAUUUUACCGGCGUUAACCCUACUUUGGAGGCCAUUUUUAUAUGAUGACACUGCA